UACGGGGGGGGCAAGCGUUGUUCGGAAUUACUGGGCGUAAAGGGCUUGUAGGUGGCCAACUAAGUCAGACGUGAAAUCCCUCGGCUUAACCGGGGAACUGCGUCUGAUACUGGAUGGCUUGAGUUUGGGAGAGGGAUGCGGAAUUCCAGGUGUAGCGGUGAAAUGCGUAGAUAUCUGGAGGAACACCGGUGGCGAAGGCGGCAUCCUGGACCAACACUGACACUGAAAAGCGAAAGCCAGGGGAGCAAACGGG
rnacentral:rRNA from 1 species